AGUGAACGCUGGCGGUAGGCCUAACACAUGCAAGUCGAACGGCAGCACAGUAAGAGCUUGCUCUUACGGGUGGCGAGUGGCGGACGGGUGAGGAAUACAUCGGAAUCUACUUUUUCGUGGGGGAUAACGUAGGGAAACUUACGCUCAUACCGCAUACGACCUACGGGUGAAAGCAGGGGAUCUUCGGACCUUGCGCGAUUGAAUGGGCCGAUGUCGGAUUAGCUAGUUGGCGGGGUGAAGGCCCACCAAGGCGACGAUCGGUAGCUGGUCUGCGAGGAUGACCGGACACACUGGGACUGAGGCACGGAACAGACUCCGACGGGAGGCAGGAGUGGGGAAUUGUGCACAAUGGGCGGAAGCCUGAUGCAGAGACGCGGCGUGAGGGAUGACGGCCUUCGGGUUGUAAACGUAUUGCAGCAGGGACGAAGCGUAAGUGACGGUACCUGAAGAAGAAGCGCCGGCCAACUAAGUG
rnacentral:rRNA from 1 species